rnacentral:rRNA from 1 species
CAGGGCUUGCCCUGGGGAUCAGUGGCGAACGGGUGAGUAACACGUGACCAACCUGCCCUUGGCUCUGGGAUAACCCCGGGAAACCGGAGCUAAUACCGGAUACGAGUUCGUAUGGCAUCACACGAACUGGAAAGUUUUUCGGCCAAGGAUGGGGUCGCGGCCUAUCAGCUUGUUGGUGGGGUAAUGGCCUACCAAGGCGACGACGGGUAGCCGGCCUGAGAGGGCGACCGGCCACACUGGGACUGAGACACGGCCCAGACUCCUACGGGAGGCAGCAGUGGGGAAUAUUGCGCAAUGGGCGAAAGCCUGACGCAGCGACGCCGCGUGAGGGAUGACGGCCUUCGGG